GACGAACGCUGGCGGCGUGCUUAACACAUGCAAGUCGAACGAAGAGCGAUGGUAGCUUGCUUCUAUCACUCUUAGUGGCGAACGGGAGAGUAACGCGAAACCAACCUGCUCUUCCGAGGAGGACAACAGAUGGAAAGGACUGCUAAUACCGUAUACGAUAUAAUUUCGGCAUCGUGGAUGGAGUAAAGAAGGCCUUUAUAUUUAAGGUAUAACUGAAGGCGGGGUUUGCGCCUGAUUAGCUGGUUGGAGGGGUGACGGGCCACCAAGGCGAUGCUGAGUAGCCGGUCGGAGAGGAGGAAGGGCGACAGUGGGACUGAGACACGGCCCAGGGUCCUACGGGAGGCAGCAGUGGGGAAUCUGGCGCAAUGGACGAAAGGCGGACGGAGCAACGCCGCGCGAGGGGUGACGGCCGUCGGGUUGUAAAGCUCAGUUAAUCGGGGCGAAAGGCCUACUUGCGAAUAGUGAAGAGGAUUGACGGUACCGGAAUAGAAAGCCACGGCUAACUACGUG
rnacentral:rRNA from 1 species